AUGAAGCAGUUCGUCACCGAGGUUGUCAGCCUCGGCCGCCUCCGGCACCGCAACAUCGUGCAGCUGCUCGGCUACUGCCGGCGUAGAGGCGGGCUCCUCCUGGUUUACGACUACAUGCCCAACGGCAGCCUGGACAAUUGGCUGUACGACCGGAACGCGACGCCGCUGGGCUGGGCGCAGAGGCUCAGCGCCAUUAGAGGCGUCGCGUCCGGCUUGCUGUACCUCCACGAGGACUGGGAGAAAGUGGUGGUGCACCGCGACAUCAAGGCGAGCAACGUGCUCCUGGACGGCGAGAUGAGCGCGCGGCUCGGCGACUUCGGGCUGGCCAAGCUGUACGACCGAGGCACCGACCCGCAGACUACCAGCGUGGUGGGCACCAUGGGUUACCUCGCGCCGGAGCUGGCGUGCACGCGGCGGGUCACGCCGGCCACGGACGUGUUUGCGUUCGGAGCGUUCGUGCUGGAGGUGGCCUGCGGCCGGCGACCCAUCCAGCACGGCGCGGCCGACGACAACCGGCUGGUGCUCGCGGACUGGGUGCUGGAGCGCUGGCACAACGGAGACGUCACGGACACGGCGGACCCGCGGCUCUGCGGCGCCUAUGAUGUCGAGAGGAGGCCGCGGCGGUGCUCAGGCUGGGCCUGGUGUGCUCCCACCCGGCGCCCGCCGCGAGGCCGUCGAUGCGGCAGGUGGUGCAGUACCUUGACGGCGACGUGCCGAUGCCCGAGCCGGCGCCGACGUAUCGGAGCUUCACCGCGGCGGCCUUAA
rnacentral:rRNA from 1 species